rnacentral:lncRNA from 1 species
AGGAAUAACACAUUUAAAGGUUCCAGAGAUGACAAUCUGGUAUCUUUGAGGGCCAUUCUUCAGUCUAAUACAAACUAUCACAAAGUUAGUGACUUCAAGGAACACACAUUUAUUUUCUUACAGUUCUGGAGGAAUGGGCUAAAAUAAAGGUGUCUGUAGGGCUGGUCCCUUCUGGAAUCUCCAGGGAGAGUCAAUCUCCGGCCUCCUGAGCCUCUAGACAGCAGCAUUCCUGGGCUCCCGGCUGCGUCCCUCCAGUCUGCCUCUGUGGUCACACUACAGCCCUCUCUCUCAGCGACCCCCUUCCCUCUUUCCUGUAAGGACCCUCGUGAUUCCGCCUGGAUCAUCCAGGUUAACCUCCCCAUCUCAAGGUCCUUGAGGUAGUCACAUCUGCAAAGUCCCUGCUGCCAUAUACAGCAACACAUGCACAAGCUCUGAGCACGGGGAUGGGGGUGUCGUUGGGGGCUGUUCUUCAGGGUCAACCACACACCCUUCCCCUGUUGCAGAUUCUUUUUUUGUUGUUGUUGAGACAGUCUCGCUCUUGUCACCCAGGCUGGAGUGCGGUGGUGCGAUCUCAGCUCACUGCAGCCUCCGCCUCCCGGGUUCAAGCGAUUCUCCUGGCUCAGCCUCCCGAGUAACUGAGACUACAGGAGCCUGCCACCACGCCCAGAUAAUUUUUCUAUUUUUAGUAGAGAUGGGGUUUCACUGUGUUAGCCAGGCUGGUCUCAAACUGCUGACCUCAGGCAAUCAGCCCGCCUUGGCCUCCCAAAGUGCUGGGAUUACAGGAGUGAGCCACCGCGCCCGGCCUACUGUAGAUUCUUCUCUUGCCCCGAGCGGUAACCACCAUCUCCAAUUCUGUGCAAACCAUCCUCCUGGUUUUCUUUAUAUGUUUAUGUGUGUCCAAAUAUGUUGUAUCUUUAAACAAUACAUCGUUAGGCCAGGUACAGCGGCUCACGCCUGUAAUCCCAGCACUUUGGGAGGCUGAGGCAGGCAUAUCCUUUGAGCCUAGGAGUUCAAGACCAGCCUGGGCAACAUGAUGAAACCCUGUCUCCACUAAAAAUACAAAAAAUUAAGCUGGCAUAGUGGUGUGUACCUGUAGUUGCAGCUACUCAGGAGGCUGAGGUGGGAGGAUCUCCUGAGCCCAGGAGAUAUAUACAUAUAUAUAUAAAUACAUAUAUAUGCGUGUGUGUGUGUGUGUGUGUGUAUAAUUUCUAUUCUCUCCACCCCCAGAGGUGAGACUCUGCUUUCUGCCUGCCUUGGAGAAGGGUGGGCGAGAUGAGCCGUGUCCCUCACUCCAAGUCACACUUCAGGUCUUCCACGUGGAGACCUCUGAGCUAUCAGUGGACGGCGGGAUUCCUGGAGCUGCUGGAACAAAGCCCCACAGGCUGGUGGCUUGGACAACAGCCUGUGUUCCUUCCCAGGCUGGGAGGCUCUGGGGAAGAACCGUUCAUGCCUCUCCCGGCUCCUGGUGACCCCACGAUUCCUGCACUUGCUGACUUAGGGCUGAGCACUCCAGUCCCACUGGCUGCUGUCCCCUGUAUCUCCUCCAUUCCUGUCUCCUCCAAGGGUGCCGGUCACCAGCUUUAAGGCCCACCCCAAAUCCAGGAUGAUCUUAUCUCGAGAUCCUUAAUUACUUCUGCAAUGAUUCUUUACCUAAAGAAGCCCCUAUUCUCAGGUUCUGGGUGGACCUAUCUUUUUUUUUUUUUUUUUUUGCGACAGAGUCUUGCUGUGUUGCCCAGGCUGGAGUGUAGUGGCACAAUCUCAGUUCAGUGCAGCCUCAGCCUCAAUCUCCUGGGCUCAAGCCAUCCUCCCUCCUCAGCCCCCCAGGACACAUCUUUAGAGGGUCACCAUUCAACGCACUGUGGUGGGCAAGGCUGCUUUGAGUUUCCUGGUUAGGAUACAACCAGCGCUGUGUGUGGAUGUCCACACAUGCCCCCGCCCCCGGCUGUACAGCCACCGGGAGACUGAGUAAAAUGUGAACUGAAGGAGGCCCCAAGGGUGGCAAGCAGAGAAAUGAAGGGAAAUGUCCCUUACCCACGCCUCUCUCCUUCCCCCACGUGACACUUCUCACAGCAGGUACCGGUACGUGUGCACAGAGGAGAACCCAGUGCCCUUCAGGGAAGAGGGUGCUGAGCCCCUGGACCGCACUUAGGUCUCGCCCCAGCUCUGUGAUUUGGACCUGGGCCCCCGAGCCCUAGUCACAGCCGGGGCGGCCCAACUCGCUCCGCCAUCGGAAGGCUUCUGGUCGCUCUCAGGGAGGAGCCCCUCUCGUAUGGGAAUCGAGGUGUUCAAUGCCCACGAUGCGGAGACCGCCUGGCCCGAGUGGGCCAGUGAUCUCAGCUUACAGUCCAGCUCCUUCCUCCCCAUGGCUAAGAGGUCAGCACCAGCUCAGGUAUCCGUGCCAAGCCCUCAACGGGCCAUCCUCCUUCCCGCGGCGACCCCGCGCAUGACAAGGCCAGACCCUCCCGCGAACGUGCUCUGCGCUCCCGCCUGGCCCCUCCCCGCCCCGCCCCUCCCCC